GUAUUACAAGAUCGGUACGUCGAGUAACCACUUCCUAGCCACGCUAAGCGGUAUGAGCACUCUUCUCUCUCAAACUGGUAUGGCGAAAACAACUUGGAGGAACGAUGAAGAUACGAACCGGAACACAGGAACCAGGAAUCCCUAUCAGGAGCCCUGCGAACCACACGAACAGACAAACGAAUACCUUACUUCUCACUUCUGGUCUCGGGUAAUUCAAGGAUCAGAUCAAGGUGAAAGGCGGACAUCUUAGAGGCAUCUGGACGUACGAUGUGGGUACAUCCUCCUUCCCACGUCACCCCCACGAACGAGUCUUGGCCGUGCCAAUAUAAGCCAUCCAUCCUGUACCAUCCCGUGAUUGUGCGAUGCGUGCACCACCCUGCCAUCCUGAUCCAUCCAUCUCCAUCGCGCAAUCCACGCAUGUCCGUCCGAUGCCAAAGAGAUAUACGCCUGAUCCGGUAAAUGUAUGUGAUCGUCAAGCGCUGGCAUCCGGAGGUCCAUGGUGAAGUGGCGAUGUGAGAUCCAGGAUUCAGGAGACUUGGAGAAAAUCGAGAGGAAACGCAAAACCACAACAAACAGACAAAUGCGAAAUUUCAGUGUGCUAUGCAACACAGUCGAAAAUCGCAGUGCAACCGCACAGCACGGCAGUCACACUACACACUGCAUUUCCGGUUGCGAAAACUGCACGCUAUCAAAGCACUGAAUUUUCCUUUUUCGAACAACGUGAAGACGGUCUUCAUCAAACCGACGCCACCCCCACGAACUUGACUGGAGCCGGAGUUGGGCACAGGACUAACCGAUGCCGAAGACGAGGUACUUGAACUACUUGCCGGUGACGGCUGACGAAUUCUUUCCUUUUUAAUUGGCGGAUGGGAAGACGCCUGUUCUCUCCCCCGCGAACUUGACUGCAUAUUAUUUAUAAUUAUUUCACCGCCUCCCCCACGAACUUGACUGGUUACCGGUGCUGAUCCCGAAGACACAACCGUUUGUGCGAUCUACAGUAGCACGCAUCUUACCAAAUCAUUGACCAACCUUUGAGGCUUCGAUCAAGGAUUGAUAAGAUAAUUUAAACUGCACUGCAGCAACUUUGCGUUACUGCAGGGCUUUACUGCCAGAUUGUACAGCUCAUUCCCUUUGCUUGAAUGGCUAUACAGUAUACACAUACAAUGCCAUAGCACUGUAUAAAUUUCUCUAAUUACUACUGCCGACCUUUAAGGUUUCAACAGUACUAAUUACAACUUCAUUUCCACAAAGCAAGCAUUUUACCUUUGCGGUUUGAAUGCUUCUUUGAUCACUGCAGCAACUUCCUGUUACUGCAAAGCUUUACUGCCAGAAUGUACAGCUGAUUCACCUUUGCGGUUUGAAUGACUAUACACAUGCAGUGUCACAGUACCGUACUAACUAAUUACUACUGUCGACCUUUAAGGUUUCAACUGUAGUAAUUAAUUUAUUAAAAUCACCCCGCUGCACUUUGCGUGCUGCAGUGAUUUUAUUUUCUAUUUUCCACACAGGUCAGUCACCGACUGUCUGUGUUUACGUUUAUCCGGUCAACUAUCUCUGGCUACUGAUUUUGGCUACCGCUUGCGGCUUGCCUUUAUCGAGCUGCUGGAGA